GACCUACACGCACGAGAAAACCCUGACCUUGAGUUUUAUGCUCAUAACUUGGCAUUUUAAGUUCAAAAUUUUAAGACUCAGCUUCAAAGUUGAGUUUUUAGUUCCGAAAGUUUGAUUUUCUUUAUUUGUGAGGAUGAGGAUUGAUUGAGGAAGCAAAAGGCUCCAAAUCGAUUCUUGAACCAGGCUGCACAACCAAAAGAUGUCAAUUGGGCCUGGUCAGAACCAAAUCUGUUGGGCUAAGGCCCAAUAGGCGAUUUUUUUUCAAAAUACAUCAAGUCUUAUGAAGGGAAACGGAAGCAAAUAUUGUAGAUCGCAUGAAGGCCCAAUCAUGGGGUGAAAAUGAUUAUUAGGGGCUUGGUACGCCCCUAGCCUAACUUACCUUUACCUUAUGAAUUUACAUCUCAAUGGUGUAUUGUAUUUGUCAUGUUUGUAAACAACACAUUAUUAGUGGAAUCCUUUAUGGUUGAACUAGA